GUUCCCUCACAGUGCCCGGGGAUCCUGGCCACCCCCUGGCCAACCCAUUUAAACAUUGUUGCUAUUGUCAGUCUUUGUUCAAAAUUCCUGCAGGCUGCCUUGUCCACAGUCUGGACCUUCUUCCUGGAGUACACGUGGGCCACUUUCCAGGAGUCUUCACAUGGAACCAGACCUGAGAGUGCCCUUACACCCACGGCCUGAGAACCCUUGUGUGAGAAAGGCUGAUUUAGAACAUGGGUCUUGCUGGACGCUGUGUCACACGACAGGAAUCCCAGCUCGGGAGGCUGAGGCAGGAGGAUCACAAGUUCAAGGCCAGCCUCAGCAACUUAGCUAGGCCCUAAGCAAGUUAGUGAGACCCUGUCUCAAAAUUAAAGAAUAAAUAAAAAGGGCUGAGGAUUGACUUGGUGGUUUAGAACCCCUGGGUUCAAUUCCUGAUUACCCCUGCCCCCCCCUCCAAAAAAAAAAAAACAAGAGUCUUGGUAUUUCCUGGACUAUUUUUAACUUGAAAGGGCAAGCUGCCUGCUCUGGUGCUUAGGCACAUACUCUGCUCUGCACUUCUGAGUGCCAGUGCAUGGGGAGAGGGUCCGGCCUCCUCGACCUUCAGCAGGCAGCUGCGGCACUCAGAGGUGCCAAGUGAGGUGCAGAGGACAGCUCUCUAGGCCAGCAACAGGGCGAGGCUUGAGGGCAAGGUUGCCUACUGCCUGCACAAGCAGAGUGGCUGAGGAAGGCAAUGCUUGAUGAGCACUUAGAAACCUUCAUCCUAUACCUGAGCUAAGGACCAGACCAACAGGAGGACAGACACAGCUACUCCUUCAUCUGAUUGGUGAAUAGAGUUGUUUCCUUGGAGAAAUUUACACCGUUGAAGAGGAAUCACCGCAAGUACCAAAGCUCAUCAAUGAAAAUUGACAAAUACUUUAAAAAUCAAGGACUUGCAUAGCCCACCAUGCUUCUCAUCCUUGGAUGGCAAUGAAAGAAAACAGGCCACCAGUCCAACAACGGCCACCAUCUGCUUCCUAGCUACUUCCCCAGGCCCACCCCCUGUGUGCUAAGAGAACCAGAACUUUGUCAGCAAGCAGAGCCGUUCUGAUUAGACCACUGCGUUACGGGCGCAUGAUCUCCAAGUGAAACGCACGAUUACCUCUCAGAAUCCUCAGGCUGGUGGGUGAGCAUGACCAGCUUCUUGUCUUGGUUCUCGUCUCUGCUUACAGGCCGUCCACAUGGAGUCUAAAAGAAAAAAGAUACCGAGGACGUGAGGCUCAGAUGUGCCCCAGGACAGACGCGGGGCAGUCGCGGGGAGCGAGCCACCUGCUUGGAGCUUUCCAUGCAGGGCCAUGUUUUUAUUCUCCUCCUGAAGAGGACCACCGCAGAUUCGCCUUCUGCCUGGUUUCAAUCAAGGACCAAACACUGAGAAUAAACACAGACGGUCUUUCAGCUGGGGAAGAGUCUGUGACAGGGAGAGAUUGACCAGGGUCAACCAGAGGAGAGCUGGGCCCGCAGUGUGCAGGACAUGAACUGUGACGGCUGUCAGAGCGACGUCUGAGGGGAGUCAGCCGGGUCCAGCAGAGCUCAGCAGGUGUGCCCAACCACCAGGUGUGCCCAACCACCAACUGCACCCCGAGCGCAGCUUUUCCCCAAGGGGCGUUAGCAAUCCUCUCCAUGGUUCAAGAUAACAGGAGAGCUGGGCACGUGACCAAGAAAAGAAAAACUGGGAGAAAACCAUGCUCAGACCCAGAGUCUUCGAUUUCCUUUUUUCCUAUUUAAUAUGAAUGGAGACUUAAACACCAAACUGUGGUCCAGCAUUACACAGUCGGCGUUGUACCUCAGAGGGUUCACAGUGGGAUCUUGAGGUGCAAGAAUUUGAAGAUUUGUAUAUGUUUUAGAAGCCAAUUCCUGCAGGCAGUCAACACCUUCUAAGUGCAUCUGGAAACGUGCAAUUGCUGUGAUCCAUUAGAAAAUCUAGGGGUCGAGUCUAUGGGAGAUAUGCAGCCAGUUUGAGUUGUAUGAGUUUCUGUUGAAUAAUAAGAACAACCAAAAAAAAAAGUUUGUUUGUUAAAAUGCUCCAAGAAGGAUCCGUCUGGGUGUCGGCCAGCUGGUGGGUGGGGGGAGGCGGCUCUCCUUCCAUUCUGUUCUCAGCUGUGACAGUUGUUUAAAUCAUCUGUUUACCACCAGGGUAGCCAGUUUCUGCAUGAAAGCGGAUGCCCCCAGGACUGUAGAGCAACAGGACCACCAAGGGUGCAGGACCCCACCGGCGGUGCCUGCCUGCACUGGAAGGCAGGGACGCCUCGCACCGCCUGGCGGAGAGGGCCUUGCCAUGAGGGUCUGCCUGCAACUUCUGGGAGCCGAGCUCCUGUGUGAACUAAUAAAGUAGAUGAGCGGUGAGUGGUCAGAGGUGUCUGUAACUAGUUCUCUGAGUCACCCAAGAAUCAUAGCACCACCCUUUACAAGAGAGGAGACAGGGGCCCAGGGGAGACAAAGGACCAGGAAAACCAACUGCCCAGCCCUGUGACUACUGGGCCUCGAUUUCCUGCUGUCCCCUA
rnacentral:lncRNA from 1 species